GGGUUGAUUACACACAAUACAAGACGCCAGUUUUGUCUACCAGUGAUCAAAUCGCACGGCUAAAAAUACAUUUGACGCAAAAUCCAGUGCCUAGUGCGACAUAAUGCUAUAAAAUUAAACCUCUUGAAACAAAUUGCACUCAAUAACUUCACCAUUUAUCGCGUUCAUUUGCACAGUUUGUUCUCAACUAGCCAUAAUACGAUAAAUAUUACCGUAAAGACAUGUCCGUGGGGCGCCUCGAGCAAACCACACCAGGCAGGUGGAGGGACAAAAUGAAUGUGGCCUGUUCGAGACCGUUUCGCAGCAAAUCUAGGCACUCGCACUGCACGUCAAGGGCACGCAGCCGAAGGUCAAAUCGAGGUCGGGGUGGAUCACGUGGCUGUGCAGUGCGAACUGGGCGAAGCAAAAGUCGCUCGAGGAAAUCAAAAAGCAAGGCGCGAGAGACAAGGUCAAAAAGUAGGAAAAAGUCAGGCCAUCGGCGGUCCAAGAGCAGGAGGUCCAAGAGCAGGAGAUCCAAGUGCAGGAGAUCCAAAAGCCAGAGAAGUAGGAGGAAGUCAUCUCGAAGGAGAAAGAAGACACGACGCUCCUGCAGCAGAAAGCGGAGUAAAAGUCAAAAGCCACCCUCCAAACCGAUGCAGACUACAUUCUACCCCCAGUUCUAACCGAUAUGGAUUGCUGCAGCAAGAUAUAUUUUGAAAUGGCAGCCAUCACAAGAAUUCGCGAGUCGGUAGGUUUGGACCGGUGGCGUCAUUGAUCAGUCGCCACGUUCUUAUGCUAUUGUACAGCAAACAGUCCUGCUGCCGAAUCGCCAUUUGUCAAGCACAUGAAUAAAAAAGCGUGGCCGCAGAUGCUGCAUGGCUAAGGCUCUCACUUCCUCACGGACGAUAUAAACCCUAUAUCUCCUAUGGAUUUACGCAACACGAUUCAUGUCACGUGCCUUGCUCACCCAUUCACAAUAGCAUACCAUUCCAUGCAAAUAAUGUUUCUUCUGCAUGACGACCUACACAAAAAUGUUUCAGCAAUAAAAUUAUGUCGCAAACGAAAGCUCGAGAACAACCCACAGGCCAGUUCGCAUCCAACUGGGAGCUGCGAAUAUAUUGCACCCGUCCA